AGAGUUUGAUCCUGGCUCAGAUUGAACGCUGGCGGCAGGCCUAACACAUGCAAGUCGAGCGGAUGAAGAGAGCUUGCUCUCUGAUUCAGCGGCGGACGGGUGAGUAAUGCCUAGGAAUCUGCCUGGUAGUGGGGGACAACGUUUCGAAAGGAACGCUAAUACCGCAUACGUCCUACGGGAGAAAGCAGGGGACCUUCGGGCCUUGCGCUAUCAGAUGAGCCUAGGUCGGAUUAGCUAGUUGGUGAGGUAAUGGCUCACCAAGGCGACGAUCCGUAACUGGUCUGAGAGGAUGAUCAGUCACACUGGAACUGAGACACGGUCCAGACUCCUACGGGAGGCAGCAGUGGGGAAUAUUGGACAAUGGGCGAAAGCCUGAUCCAGCCAUGCCGCGUGUGUGAAGAAGGUCUUCGGAUUGUAAAGCACUUUAAGUUGGGAGGAAGGGCAGUUACCUAAUACGUAUCUGUUUUGACGUUACCGACAGAAUAAGCACCGGCUAACUCUGUGCCAGCAGCCGCGGUAAUACGUAGGGGGCAAGCGUUAUCCGGAAUCACUGGGCGUAAAGGGUGCGUAGGUGGUUCUUCAAGUCAGAAGUGAAAGGCAGUGGCUUAACCACUGUAAGCUUUUGAAACUGAGGAACUUGAGUGCAGGAGAGGUAAGUGGAAUUCCUAGUGUAGCGGUGAAAUGCGUAGAUAUUAGGAGGAACACCAGUGGCGAAGGCGACUUACUGGACUGUUACUGACACUGAGGCACGAAAGCGUGGGGAGCAAACAGGAUUAGAUACCCUGGUAGUCC
rnacentral:rRNA from 1 species